UGCAAUAAAAUAUGUUGGUAAAAAAGGCUUUUUAAUACAUUGCUAUUUUACUUCUGGUUUUUGUAUGACAUUUUUAUUAAUUAUAUACUUUUUUUACAGGGAACAAGCACAAAUCUAAAUGUCGUUCUCUUGGUAUAGAUCCCAGUUGUUUUCAGAAACCACCACCACCCCCUCCACAACCAGUACAAAAUGUUGAAGAAGAAAAAAGUCUGAAAAGAACAUAUGGUGAAGUUGAAGCUGAUGAUGACAAUAAAGUGACUGAAGCUCCACAAGCUGUCCCUGCGAAGUUUGGAAAAUUUUUCUGCCAGACAUGUGAAGUUUCGCUUAAUUCUGAAGUUCAGUUACAACAGCACAUGGGCAGUAAGAAGCAUAAAGAUAGACUGGAAGGAAAGAAGACCCCGGGCAAAAAGUAUUGGUGGAGAAAGAAAAAGAAUCCCAAGAAUGCUCCCACUUCAAUGAAUAUGCCGUCUGCGGACGUGCCAAUCAACCAAACGUUCGUCAAAGGCGAAACAAUGCAGUGAAGACAAGGUAGAAAGAAACUACCACACGAAUAGCUAAUUUGAUGAAAAAGGACAGCGUCCAACGUAGUUCUGAUACUAUUUCUUCAUCCACACAUUACGUUUAGGUGUAUAACUGUUAGUUAUACCGUCAUAUAUUUCAAUGUGUCAAUUUUAUUUUUGAAGUAACAUCCAUUAGUACAUCUAAGAAUUUUAUCUAGAUGAUUAUGCUUUAUUGUGGUAACAUCUGCCAUGUGCUCUACAUAAUCGAUGUAGCUUUAAAAAUAUAUAGACGUCACUUUUAGAAUUGUAUUCCCAUUGCCAUAAUCUUUUGUUGUUCAUGAAUUAAUAAAAUGUGCUCAUUUCUCAAUUUAAUCUGUGUUAAUUUAAUGUUUGAAAAUAAACAUCAUUUAGUAUCAAAAACCUUUAUUGUUCCAGCAACUGUAAACAAAGCUCUAUAGUAUUUUUGCAGAGAUAGCAUUAAAGAUAACUUUUUAAACAUUUAAAAUUCAUCUCCCCUUUGUAUAUCA
rnacentral:lncRNA from 1 species